rnacentral:lncRNA from 1 species
GUGGAGUGAGGUAAGGUAUGGUGGGGUGAGGUGAGGUAAGGUAUGGUGAGGUGUGGUAGCGUGAGGUGGGGUGAGGUAUGGUGAGAUAUUGUGUAUUAAGGUGGUCAGUAGGAUGGUAAAGGGUUGUAGGACGGGGUCAGUAGGAUGGUGUAGGGUUGUAGGACGGGGUCAGUAAGAUGGUGUAGGGUUGUAGGAUGGGGUCAGUAGGAUGGUAAAGGGUUGUAGGACGGGGUCAGUAAUAUGGUAAAGGGUUGUAGGACGGGGUCAGUAAGAUGGUGUAGGGUUGUAGGAUGGGGUCAGUAGGAUGGUAAAGGGUUGUAGGGGUCAGUAGACGGUGUAGGGUUGUAGGAUGGGGUCAGUAGGAUGGUGUAGGGUUGUAGGAUGGGGUCAGUAGGAUGGUAAAGGGUUGUAGGACGGGGUCAGUAGGAUGGUAAAGGGUUGUAGGACGGGGUCAGUAGGAUUCUAAAGGGUUGUAUGAUGGGGUCAGUAGGACGGUAAAAGGUUGUAGGAUGGGGUCAGUAGGAUGGUGUAGGGUUGUAGGAUGGGGUCAGUAGGAUGGUGUAGGGUUGUAGGAUGGGGUCUGUAGGAUGGUGUAGGGUUGUAGGAUGGGGUCAGUAGGAUGGUGUAGGGUUGUAGGAUGGGGUCAGUAGGAUGGUGUAGGGUUGUAGGAAGGGGUCAGUAGGAUGGUGUAGGGUUGUAGGGUGGGGUCAGUAGGAUGGUAAAGGGUUGUAGGAUGGGGUCAGUAGGAUGGUGUAGGGUUGUAGGAUGGGGUCAGUAGGAUGGUGUAGGGUUGUAGGAUGGGGUCUGUAGGAUGGUGUAGGGUUGUAGGAUGGGGUCAGUAGGAUGGUGUAGGGUUGUAGGAUGGGGUCAGUAGGAUGGUGUAGGGUUGUAGGACGGGGUCAGUAGGAUGGUGUAGGGUUGUAGGGUGGGGUCAGUAGGAUGGUAAAGGGUUGUAGGACGGGGUCAGUAGGAUGGUGUAGGAGUGAGGUGAGGUGAGGC